rnacentral:lncRNA from 1 species
UCACCAUACAGCUAGUUAGCUCUUUAGUAAUGUGUACCAGAACAGCUAGUUUACGACCAAACGUUCGAAAUGGUGUCGCCAUACAGGCCUGGUAGGUUACGACGCCAUCUGUUUCAGAAUGGGGUCGACAUACAGCUAGUUGACGAACCCAUCGGUUCAGAAUGGUGUCACCAUACAGCUAGUUACGACCCAUCUGUUCUUUAUAACACCAUACAGCUAGUUACGACCCAUCUGUUCUUAAUGUCGCCAUACAGCGACCCAGCUAGUUACGACCCAUCUGUUCUUUAUAACACCAUACAGCUCGUUACGACCCAUCUGUUCUUAAUGAUGUCGCCAUACAGAUGAUGCUUAACCUCAUGGGGUGCAGAUGCAGGACAAAAGCAAUAGUUUGCUGCGAAAACAAUUUUUCUCAAGCCUGUGGAAAAGGAAGUGGGGGGGAGACUAAACAGUUAGUCUGUCUUUUUCCUCCAACCGAUGCCUGUUUUUCAUUCAAAACCCCAAACGAUGCACUCAAGUAAUACACAAUCCUCUUAUGUACAGUCAAUUUCUUUAAUCUGUAAUUGUAACUAUUGUCUUUUUGAAAAAGCAACUAUCAAUAAAUUAUUUAAACCUAUUGAGUUUAUUUUUUUAAAUUCUUGUUUCAUAUUUGUAACACCAUUCUGGCAGAAACUUACAAAAUCUGACCAACAUUGUUUUUUUUAACAAGUCGACACGGAGGUGGUGUUCGGGGGGGUGGAAAAACUAGUGAGCGUUUAGUAUUGGAGUGCAGUCUACUGGUAGCCUCCCAGUCCCUGUUAUCUUUCCGUUUGGUUCCUAAUGAACGACGACACAGAUGGAAGUGAUGAUCUCCUUUUUUUAGAUAUUAAAUCACUAUGUUAAAGAUCGAUGAUGCUGAAGCCUUGUAGUGUGGAAGACGAAGAACAAAUCACCGUGCUGCUAUGUAUUUGUCUGUGUGAUUCCAAAUGGCUUCCUGAUUCUUAUAUGGUGCACUAUUUCUGACCAGAGAAGUAGUGCACUAUAUAGGGGGAAGGGGGUUCCAUUCGGGACUCGGAACUCUUGUUACAAUACAAACCUCUUAUAACCAUAACAACCUGACAUGUAAAUUAACAUAGAACAAAAUGGCCCCCAAAAAAUGUUCAAUGGCUUUGAUCCAUGAUCCUUAAUGUAUUAAUAUACAGUACCAGUGGACACACCUACUCAUUCAAGGGUUUUUCUUUAUUUUUACUAUUUUCUACAUUGUAGAAGAAUAGUUUAGACAUCAAAACUAUGAAAUAACACAUGGAAUCAUGUAGUAGCCCCCCAAAAAAGCAUUAAACAAAUGUUUGAGAUUCUUCAAAGUAGCCACUCUUUGCCUUGAUGACAGCUUUGCACUCUUGGCAUUCUCUCAACCAGCUUCAUGAGGUAGUCACCUGGAAUGCAUUUAAAUUAACAGGUGUGCCUUGUUGAAAGUUAAUUUGUCGAAUUUCCUUAAUGCGUUUGAGCCAAUCGGUUGUGUUGUGACAAGGUAGGGGGGGGUAUACAGAAGAUAGACCUAUUUGGUAAAAGAACAGCUCAAAUAAGCAUACGGAAACGACAGUCCAUCAUUACGUUAAGACAUGAAGGUCAGUCAAUGUUUCUUCAAGUGCAGUCGUAAAAACCAUCAAGCACUGUGAUGAAACUGGCUCUCAUGAGGACCGCCACAGGAAAGGAAGACCCAGAGUUACCUCUGCUGCAGAGGAUAAGUUCAUUAGAGUUAACUGCACCUGAGAUUGCAACCCAAGUAAAAUGCUUCAUAGAGUUCAAGUAAACAGACAUCUCAACAUCGAGUGAAUCAGGCCUUCGUGGUCAAAUUGCUGCAAAUGAAUCACUACUAAAGAACAAAUGGACUUUCUUGGGCCAUGAAACAUGAGCAAUGGACAUUGGACAGAUUUCCACCAGUCUUUUUCAUCUGAGUAUGUGAACAGAUGAUCUCUGCAUGUGUGGUUCCCACCAUGGAGCAUGGAGGAGGAGGUGUGAUGGUGCAUUGCGCUUAGUGGGACGAUCAUUUGUUUUACACAGCCUGGAGGUGUCCUGUUGAAAGGGCCAUUUGACCAAGAAGGGAGAGUGAUGGAGUGCUGCAUCAGAUGACCUAGCCUCCAAUCACCCCGACCUCAACCCAAUUGAGAUGUUUUGGGAUGAGUUUGACCAGAGUGAAGGAAAAGCAGCCAAGAAGGGCUCAGCAUAUGUGGGAACUCCUUCAAGACUGUUGGAAAAGCAUGCCAGGUGAAGCUGGUUGAGAGAAUGCUAAGUGUGCAAAGCUGACAAGGCAAAGGGUGACUACUUUGAAGAAUCUAAAAUAUACUUUCAUUUGUUUAACACUUUGGUUACUACGUGAUUCCAUAGUUUGUCUUCACUAUUAUUCUACAAUGUAGAAAAUAGUAAAAAAUAAAAACCCUUGAGUAAGUAGGUGUCCAAACAUUUGACUAGUACUGUACUUGUUCUCAAAUUCUACGCAAUACAAUCUACAAAUGUAACAGUCCACUGACAUUGUUUUUAAACCUGAAAAGCGUUUUCCGACCAAUAACAACCACUGGUUAACAGGCCCAAGCCGUUUGGGAGACAGAGGUUUAGCUCAUCAGAAAGGUGUACUACCCAACAGGAUCAGAGUUAGCCCGCUAAAUUGCCAAAACAUUUUGAAUUAUUUUUAUUUUUUUAAGAAAUAUGAGCUUUAAAUGAGCAUGAUCUAAAUGGACUAAACCAAAACAGGUUUAGCUUUCUUAAGACAUGCUCCGGUACUUUGGCGACUAAGUUUUUUUUUGUACCUCCCACUGGAUAAGUGAAAGUAUAAUUUAUACUUGCAGAAUAACUUUAACCUCAAUUAGCUACAAAAAUCCCUAGUUUGAAAGCAACUUUUCUUAAAGCUGUGCGGUGACAUUUUCCCUACAUUUCCCCCCACCACGAAGGGCCAGCCCCAUAGCAAUUAGAGUUCUAGCCAAUGAGCCCCUCGUAUUUGAGUGACCCCCUAGCUAGAGGCCUGCCCUGAGGUAUAUCCAAUGAGGUUGCAGGGCGGGCCCAACAGCUCAGUGGACUUAGCGAGAAAGAGAGGGCAAUGACGUGGUGCACAUACUGUACAUGACAAUGUACUUUUGGCUCGUGGGCUCUACUUUUCAGAACUACUGGGCUAUAAAGGGUUAGGGUGACAGUACUUUUGGCUCGUGGGCUCUACUUUUCAGAACUACUGGGCUAUAAAGGGUUAGGGUGACAGCACUUUUGGCUCGUGGGCUCUACUUUUCAGAACUACUGGGCUAUAAAGGGUUAGGGUGACAGUUCUGAAAAGCAGAGCCCACGAGCCAAAAGUACUG